ensembl:lncRNA
GGGGGAGCUGCAAAUUAAGGGAGAGCGCGGAGAAGAGCUGCAUUAAAGAUUCCACAUCUCUGUUGCAAACAGGGAUGGCUGAUCUCUUUCUGCUAUGCUGUCAUGCUCUAUUUUCUUUCUCUUCAUGGCGGAUGGGAGGCAGAUGGGAGAGCGGGACAGAGCACUGAUGGAUGCUGCAGGGCUGCCACACCAACCAUGUGCCACUGCCAAGGUCCACCGCAGCCUCAACCCAACCCGGACCCAAAUGGUGAAGAGAUCUUCUUGGAAAACACUCCGACAGAGAACGCAGACAGGGAGAAGCUGCUGGGGUCACUCACCCCAGCAAAGCCACGUGCACUGAGAGAGAGAAGCAAAGGAAGGAUGUGAGCAUCCCCAGCACAAACGCAGGACUUGGAGUCUGCCUUUGAGAGAGAGUGAAGGAGCGAGCGAGAUGGCAGUCCUGGAACAAUAGGGGUUAUUUAUAAGGUUGGUUGUUCUUGUGUGCAUUGCAGAUCAUAGCCAAGAGGCAUCUGCCUGAGGUCUGAAUUAGUCACAGCGGGGUUGGGAGGGGAGGUGGGCAGCUGGCUGAAAUCACAAGCCUCCCAGUCACUGGUUUUUCUCUCCUCGGGGUUGCUGGCAUUGUCAGCAAUGGUUUAACCUACUUACAACAAUAAUCCCUGUAAUAAAGGCAUUUUUUAAAUA